ACAGAGGGGGCAGGCGUUAUUCGGAAUUAUUGGGCGUAAAGGGCGCGUAGGCGGCUUUGCAAGUGACGGGUGAAAUCCCUCGGCUUAACCGAGGAACUGCCUGUCAAACUGCAUGGCUUGAGACCAGGAGAGGUGAGUGGAAUUCCCAGUGUAGCGGUGAAAUGCGUAGAUAUUGGGAGGAACACCAGUGGCGAAGGCGGCUCACUGGACUGGUACUGACGCUGAGGCGCGAAAGCGUGGGGAGCAAACGGGA
rnacentral:rRNA from 1 species